CUUAAUUUUCUUAAAACUGAGAUAGGUACUCUCGCUCAAAAAUAAUAAUAAAUAAGUUUAAAAAUUUUACUGUGCAUAUUGUUUGAAUUCCCGAUUUGUAAAAAAAAAUAUUGAGCAAUAUGAAAACACAUUCCAUUUCUGCUGAUAAUGCUGUAUAAACAAGUGAGAAAAUCCCGAGUUUUCUGGAUACAAUUACAAAAUAGAGAUCAACAACACAUUCAUUCGUUGACAGUAGACAAUCGGUUUUAGAGCUAAACACACUUUUCAGCAACUACCGUGUAACCGUACACUUUCGCGUUUGUAAACGUGUUUACUUAAACAUGUUCACCUGAAGUAGUUCAGGGUCCCGUGUAACCGCGCCCUUAGUUUAUUCCUUCAAGUGUUUUAGUUUCAUUUGGGCCUUUGGCUCAGUCGAUCGUGGCCUGAUCACCCACUGAUCCUAGUCUUUGAGUCCCAAGAAACUUGCUAAAUAAAUUAAGGUGUGCCUAAAGUAAAGGUAAUGUAAUAACAGGUUUGUGCACAUAAAAAAUAAAAAUAUAAAAAACCAUGGUACCUAGUUUUAAGUUGUCGCGCGACAUGUCUUAAUUGUUUGUAUGUUAGUUUUGGGAAGUAAGUUUGGUUGUAGGGUUUUCUUAGUUUGAAUUUUUAUGUUCAAGUAAUCAUGUGGUUAUUAGUUGGUAUUUGGGGUAUGUAUUUUGGUAUAUUUUUUUUGGAGUCAUUUGUUAUCUUCAUGUUUUAUUUUCAUCAGUUUUUUAUGUCCAUUUCACGUAAUUUAGGGUUUGGUGUAACAACUAGAUUAAUUUCAACACUGAUAUAUUUUGUUUUAGUUAACCAUGUAAGAUUGAGGUUAUGUUUGGUAAUUGUUGUUUAAUUUGUCGCAAGUUAUUUUAGAGUUUUAAAAUUUAUAUUCCUUUUAACCUAUAAAUUUAUUAUAAUUUCAUAAUUUGCAUAUUCUUUAUUAAUAUAAUUCUAAAUGAUAUUUCAAUUUUAUAAGAUUGCAGGUUUUGUUCGUGAGAGAAUUGUUCGCAUAUUAUUUCUCGUUUUCAUAAUAUUUCCAUGUUUCUGAUUUUUUUUGCAGAUUGCCAUAUGUUGAAAAGUCUGUGGUUUCUUCAGUAAUAUUUAAUUGAUGUGAUGUUUGUUUACUUUUCGUGUAUCACCAUUUGGGGCACGUUUUUCAUAAUCUAACCAUGAUAGGUAUAUUUUCUUGUUUGUUGCCAUCGUUUAAUAAGUUCUUUUUUUAGCAAGUGGUUUUAAUAAUUUUAAUGUUGUUUCCUUGCCCAUGUUUUGUUGUAGGUCAUCUUGGGUAUGUAUUUUAUCUAAUUUCUUACAAGAGACAUUUUGCCGUUUUCACUAAUAUGUUCAUUUAAGGUGUGUUCUAGUGCUUUUCAUUGCACAAGUUAAUAAUUGAGGUAAUGAAGUUGUCUUAUAAGUAUUUAAUUUCCAGUAAACUUAUCUUUGAAUCAAGUAUUUGAGUAAUUUUUUUUUUUAGGUUGUGUUUGAUCUUCAUUUGAAUUUUUUUUCUUGAGCCUAUUAAUUUUUUAUUUUAAUUUCACUAUUUUGCUUUGUUUUGUUUUAAUUAUUUUGUUUCAGUGAGAUGCAGUAAAAGGUCAGUGGUUGUCUUGUUAGAAUUUUGUCUUUUCUCUUUUGAAUCUUUUCUUUAAGCACUAUUAAAGGGUUUUAUAGUUUUAAUGUAUACAAUUUUGUACUGUGGGAGUAAGUGACUUCCAGACGAUAUUUGGGUUGUGUUUUAAUUGUGUUGUCGACUUUGGUCAACUUUUUAUUUUAGGCAGGUCCUCUGAGCCAGAGCCAGAGAGCCAGUGCCAAGUCCUGUUGAGAAGUGUUUAGGCUUCACCAGCACUUUUCAUUUUUUGCAGGCCUCAGUCAUUUUUUUUUAUCAAACCAUAUAUCUGCCAUGGAAGAUCCAAUCACUCAUUUUUAAUAAUAAUUUAAAUUUAGAUUAAUAUAUUUUGUGAGUUUAUUUGUUUUUAAAUAAUAAUUAAUAUUUUUUUUGGGUGCUAACUUUGAUUCAGUGCUUUUCUAUUUUGUUUGUCUUGCUAGUGUCAUCUUUUAAAAUAACAUUUUAAUAUAUCCGUUUUGUUUUUUGUCUUGUCAUCCAAAACAUAUACUUUUAAAAAUUUCUGUUUUGUAGGUUAUGUGUGUGUUAGUUCAUGUGGGGAUGUGGUGUGUUGUGUGUCUUGUACAUCUCUCCACACGAUACAGCUGUUUCACAUGUGUUCCACACAUUACACCGUGUAGUGUCAUCAACUUAAUCAUUUUUUUAAUUUUUUUGUUUUGCAAGUUUUUUUUGGUUUUGAAUUUAGAUGUUCCUUCUUGUUUUGAUUUGUGGACUAGGGUUGUUGCUGUAUGACAUCUCUCCGGUGGGGUGUCUGCUGCAUGGAGUUUGCUAGGGUGGUUGCAGCUUCGGCUCGGUGUUGCUGCGACUCACCGUUACAGCCAUCUCUGGUGAAUUUCGUGUAGUGGAGUUCUGCUUGGUGGGAUUGUCUUAUAGUGACACAUUAUUCAUUGUAAGGUAUGGUUUCAACUGAUUUCUUCUCAAAAAUUUUUCCUUUUAUUAUAUUGCAGGCAGUUCUUUUUUUUUCACUUCACCUUUGCUGAAUCGUAAUUUUAUUCAUGUUAUAUUUUGUGUUAGUGGUCAAGCUUGCUUUUGCAGGUGCUAAAUUAUCUCUUGAGUGUCUAAGGUAUGGGACUUAGUCAUUCACCUUUGGACGACCGUUUUCUCUUUUUUUAUUUUCAAUUUUGUGUUGUCGCUGAAUAAGCAUUUUAAAGAUUUUUGUUUCCUUUUGUUUUGGCUCAUGUUUAUCUUCAUGUGUUGUUUGAGCUGCAGUCUUCAGAGCGGUAUCAUAAGAUCAGGAUUUUGUGACCAGGAUUUAAGAAGGGGUAAAGAAUCCCCAAGUUUUUUUUUUAUAAUAAGAAGGGGUAGAGAAUCCCCAAUUAUGUUAAUAUGGAGGAGGUAGGAGAACCCCCCAUUAAGCUGAAUAAGUAGGAGGUAAAGAGUCCCCACUAUUCUGAAUAAGCCGACGGGCAUUUUUUUUUAUAUGAGGUAUGGUCCUCUUUUAUAUAUUAUAUAUGUAACUGGUUGUCCUGGGUAUUUGUACCACCAUUCUGUCCUGUUUGUUCUACAAUCACACAUAAAAAGUUUCGGUAUUUUGGUAGUCUGAUCUUCGAUUAAUUUACACUUUAGCUUUGAGAUUUUUCUCUCGCAGGUAUGUGAGCAUCCUACGUUCAGCUAAUUGAUGUUGAUGUCGAGACCAAGUUUUCUAUGGUAUUUUUUUUUGAGCGAGCAUUUAAAUAAUUUUUUUAAUAAGAAGGGAUGAGUGGUCCCCAGUUUAUAUAAUAAUUGUAUGAAGAGGUGUAUAUUCCUCAUUGAGUAUUGAGUUUGUAAGGAUAAUAUUUUGUUGUUCUCAGUAUAUAUAUAUAUAUAGGUUUUGUGCUCGUGUCUGUGGUGUUUGUUUCUUCAGCAGUAUAAUGAUUUAAUUUCUUGAUUUCUAUAUCUAAUACAGUCUUCGUAGUUUUGACAUCAUUAUUUACUAUGUCUCUUUUGUUUUAAUGGCAACUUUUUAAAUAAAAAAAAAAUAUAUAUAUAUUUAAAUUUUUAAAUACAUAAAUAUAAUAAAUAAAAAUAAAUAAAUAAAAUAAAUAAUAUAAUAAUAAUUAUAAUACUUAAUACCUUAAGAAAGUAGCGUCUGCUUUGAGGGGGGGAGUAUGUGCCGUUGUAAUGUUGGUGGCACUUGCUCAACUUAUUUAUUUAUAAUUUUUUUUUUGGGCUAACUGGUUUCCACACGUUUUCAGUGUUUUAUAUUGGUAUUUGUUAAUGGUAAUAUGUUAUUUAAAUAUUUCAAAGUUAAUUCUAAACGAAGUUGUAAUAAUUUUAAUUAUGUGUAAUUUAAAUGUUUGAACAUCAAGUUUUUUUAUUGUGUCAAUGUAAUUUUUUUGAAUCUAUUAUGAAUAAUGUGUUUACAAUUUAAUUAUUAUGGUAAAUAUGUGAAGGUAUGUUUAAGACAUUAUAAGUCAAUCUUUUGUAAUAGAAUUAAUGUAUUAUCGAUCUUUUGAUUUUCUAAAAAGUACUCUCUACGAGUGCCAUGUUCAAUGUCCUUCUUCGUCUUGCACUUACUGACCACAAACGGUCUUUUCCAGCACUUUGACGCCAUGAUGUAGUAACUCAAAAAUUCGUUCUUGUGUGAUUUAAAGUUUUCAAGAUGCAUUAAGCAUCUACAACCGCACUAAGUGCGGUUCCACGAUACCGGCCACGCGGUAAUCCACGAUACCGGUAAUGCGGUACACUUGAACCAACUUGUGCUGUGGUGUUGGGGGCCUGUCCCCGGCAGCCCGGAAGCAAAAUGAUGUGACCGCACCUAAUUCAGGAAAGCCGACGACUAUUUCAUUAUUUUUGGCAUGAACUACUAACAUUUUUUUUAAUCUACUCUACAUAAUGUGAAAAUUUCGUGAACUUAACCUCAUCGGACUUCUCGUCAAACUUUGUCUUCUCUUCUAUCUUAAAGAAUUUUUUUUUUGAACCAAUGUAAAGUCUUAUUUAAAAUAUGUAAUUUACAAGCAACGAAACAAUGUAACAUGGACUAAAGAUAUUUUGAUAAACAAACAAAAAAUUUUUGUUUUGUAAGGAAUUCAUCAUGUAAUUAUUAAUUUGUUUUAAUAGUAAACAAAAAAAUUUAUUCGUUUUUGUAAGGGGCCCCAGAUAAGAUAAAACUUAAACAUAGUAAAAUCAGUAUCAUGUAAGAAAUAAUUUAAAAUACUAGUGAUAAUAUAAUAUGGUCAGAGUGUUGAGAUUUAAAAAAUAAUUUACAUAAAAAAUAAAUUAUUUAUCUGAAA